rnacentral:rRNA from 1 species
UACGUAGGGUGCAGGCGUUAAUCGGAAUUACUGGGCGUAAAGCGUGCGCAGGCGGUUUCUUAAGUCAGAUGUGAAAGCCCCGGGCUUAACCUGGGAACUGCGUUUGAAACUGGGAGACUUGAGUGUGGCAGAGGGGGGUGGAAUUCCACGUGUAGCAGUGAAAUGCGUAGAUAUGUGGAGGAACACCAAUGGCGAAGGCAGCCCCCUGGGCCAACACUGACGCUCAUGCACGAAAGCGUGGGGAGCAAACAGG